rnacentral:ncRNA from 12 species
UUUGUAGCUUAGAGGAAAAGCGUUUGCUUCGUAAGCAAAAGAUCGCGAGUUCGAUACUCGUCA